CUACGGGACGCUCCAGUGAGGAAUUUUGCGCAAUGGGGGAAACCCUGACGCAGCAACGCCGCGUGAGUGAAGAAGGCUUUCGGGUCGUAAAGCUCUGUUAAGUGGGAAAAAAUACUCCUGAUUAAUACUCGGGGGGACUGAUGGUACCACUAGAGGAAGCACCGGCUAACUCCGUGCCAGCAGCCGCGGUAAUACGGAGGGUGCGAGCGUUGUUCGGAAUUACUGGGCGUAAAGCGCGUGCAGGCGGUUUGGCAAGUCAGAUGUGAAAGCCCUGGGCUUAACCCAGGAAGUGCAUUUGAAACUGCUUUACUAGAGUAGGGGAGAGGAGAGUGGAAUUCCCAGUGUAGAGGUGAAAUUCGUAGAUAUUGGGAGGAACACCCGUGGCGAAGGCGACUCUCUGGACCAAUACUGACGCUGAGACGCGAAAGCGUGGGGAGCAAACAGGAUUAGAUACCCUAGUAGUC
rnacentral:rRNA from 1 species